ACUCAAAUGAAUAGACGGGGGCCCGCACAAGCGGUGGAGCAUGUGGUUCAAUUCGACGCAACGCGAAGAACCUUACCAGCCCUUGACAUGGCAGGACGGUUUCCAGAGAUGGAUUCCUUCUCGCAAGAGACUUGCACACAGGUGCUGCAUGGCUGUCGUCAGCUCGUGUCGUGAGAUGUUGGGUUAAGUCCCGCAACGAGCGCAACCCUCGCCCUUAGUUGCCAUCAUUCAGUUGGGCACUCUAGGGGGACUGCCGGUGAUAAGCCGGAGGAAGGUGGGGAUGACGUCAAGUCCUCAUGGCCCUUACGGGCUGGGCUACACACGUGCUACAAUGGCGGUGACAGAGGGAUGCAAUGGAGCAAUCCUGCGCAAAUCUCAAAAAGCCGUCUCAGUUCGGAUUGGGCUCUGCAACUCGAGCCCAUGAAGUCGGAAUCGCUAGUAAUCGCAGAUCAGCACGCUGCGGUGAAUACGUUCCCGGGCCUUGCACACACCGCCCGU
rnacentral:rRNA from 1 species